rnacentral:lncRNA from 1 species
UCCUUGUUUCUAGGAAGUGUAGAUAACCUCUUACCCUUGAUGGAAGAAAAGUUUCCUGAACUUGGUUUGGUUAGAGAAGAUUGUGUUGAAAUGAGUUGGAUUGAAUCAGUUCUUUACCUUUUUCGGUUUCCAGAAGGCGAACCACUUGAAACGUUGCUCAACAGAACACUAGCUGCAAAGGAUAAUUCCAAAGCGAAAUCUGAUUUUGUCAAAAUUCCUAUUCCUGAAACUGGUUUAGAAGGAUUAUGGCCUUUGUUUGAUGAAGAUGGUGCGGAAGAUGUACUAAUGGUAUUGUUUCCUUAUGGUGGCAUAAUGGAUAAGAUUUCAGAAUCUGAAAUUCCAUUUCCACAUAGAUAUGGAACCUUAUACAAAAUUCAAUAUGCAGUGCACUGGCAUCAAGAAGGUGAUGAGGUGGAAAAGUUGCACAUCAAUUGGAUUAGAAAACUUUAUAGUUAUAUGGAACCUUUUGUUUCAAAGUCUCCAAGAGCUGCAUAUAUUAAUUAUAGAGACCUUGAUAUUGGGGUGAAUAACAUUAAUGGAUACACAAGCUACAAGCAAGCUAGUAUUUGGGGUGUUAAGUACUUCAAGAACAACUUCAAAAGAUUGGCAAAAGUGAAGACAAAAGUUGAUCCUCUAAACUUCUUCAGAAAUGAACAAAGUAUACCUUCUCAUGUGUCCAAGGGACGCAAAUAGAAUUUCUUGGAGCUCAAAAGGUCAUAGUAAUAAAAUACAAGCUGCUUUGUUAUUUCUCAAUGAUAGUUAUCUUUUAUAUGUGUACUUUUAAUUUAUACUCAUACUUAAGAAAGGAAUGAAUGAAUGCUUAUAGAUUAGCAGUGGCAGAUUCAUAAGCUUAUUGUAAAAUGUUGAGAAGUAUGGAAAUUCCCAACAAAUAGAAAAAUAAAAUGAUAGAAAGGUUUAUUUUGGAAUUGAUAGUAUGAAGAAGCUUAGUCAAUUGAUAGAAACUAAAUAGUUUUCAUAAGCAGUAACAAAAGAAAGAUAUACAACAGAUUGCAUAAAUGAAAGCUUCCCAAAUUUUCUGGUAAACCAUAUAGGACCAAAUUAUUCUUUCGACAUAUAGAUUAAAAAGGGAGCGAAAUCAGAUUUGUCAUCACUAUUAAUGUAUUUCUUCGAAACAUAAGUAAAAUUAGUCCUCCGCUAUUAAGUUAGGGCUCUUAAAUUAGAAAAUGCAGCACACAUGUUGCGAAAGAGAGGUCAGCUAGGUAAUGUCCUAGAGCCAAUCUUAAAUUUUCAUUCAGAAAGUUAGAAGAAAUGCAAAAACAGAUUUGUUGCAGAAAAUAUGAGCAGAGAGCCAAAGAAAAUAAAGGCAACAUGUUCCUCGUUAGAACCUUCUGAGUUAGUUUUGUGGAAAGCCAUAACGACGGAGAAAAACUACUAAUAGAUUUGUCAUUGGUGUGCCUAACUGGAUUUUCGACAGAAGGGUUGAUAGUUUCGCGUCAUAUCUAAGACCUCUAACAACCAAUCAUGCCAUAUUGAAAAUGAAAAUUACUAGUAGUGCUAUUCCAAAAGAAUAAAAAAGUUAUAAUUAAAGGCUUUUCGAUUUUUCUUGUCAAAAGGGGAUCUGAUAGAAUGCAUAUUUUUCUUGAAAACAACGGUAUAAUUCUUUCUGGAGUCCUAAAUACAAGAGACAGUUGAAUCAACAAAAGUUGUUUAGGACCGGAAGGAAUAAGAAGGAAGAGAAAGCAAUGGUUUCUUGGUUUUCAAGAUUUGGGAAAGUUCCCUCAAAAAGAUUUGGCACAAGCUCCGGAGCAAGCAUAGGACCAAAAAAAGCAAGGGAUAAUGAAGAUUUCUUAUGCUUGAAAUGGUUGAUUAUCUAACUUGCUUGGCAAAGAUAUUUCUUUUUCAGAACUGGUUCAUUAGGCACUAGUGGAGUGGUAGCAGUAAAAGGUUGAGGAAAUGUCAUUGAUGGUUGGAAGAAAGAGGAGGGAAGAAGAAGGGUUAGAGCUAAUGAAGUGAGAUUAAAAUCACAAAGACAAUGGUUAUUUAUAAGGAGAAAUUGGAAAAAAACAGUUGCUAAAAUCUAGGAAAAUUAUGUGAUUGCUUAAUUUUCAGGUACAAGAAAUUGAUUGGUUAAUUUUGUACGAGCAAGUGGUCGUGGAUAUGAUUAAAUUCAGAUUUUUGGAAGUGGUUUUUAGUAACAACUUCACUCUAUUUAAUGCUAUUAUUUGCAAAAUGUCCUUCAAUGAAAUCAAUUUCCAUAUAACCAAGUUGUUUGGGCUCCAGCGGCAAGGAGUUCCUUCCAAGGACGUAUUCGGAGAAUACCGGGUUCGAUUCUCAGGGGAAACAACGCUUGGCCAGUGCGCAUGCCUCUACGCAUGAGCCGAAUUAAUUGUCCACCUUUGGUGGGUCGGAAACCGAUGCGAAAGCAAAAAAAAAAAAUCAAAAUAUAAUUAAAAGUAUUGGGUAGUUUAGGAAGUACAAUUAUGUUUUUGUUUACAUCAAGAAAAUUAAUUAAAUUUAACCACUUUUCUUAAUCUAUAUAAAAAAAAAGUUGUAUUACUCAUAAUUGAAUGAGAGAGAUCCAAGGAAAAAAGUGAAUAGAGUACUUUAUCUAACAUGUACAAGUAAAAUGGUAUUGCAUUAUGUAUAAAUAUCAUUUUUUAUCAUUGAAUUGAAAAAUCAUAUCAUAUUUAAUUUAAUUUAAUAGUGAGAUUUAUUUCACUUGUGGAUAAUAGAAUUGGCCAAAACAUAUCUAAGAAAAACGAAUUGGCCAAAACAUGGAUAUGUUCUUGGCAAAAUCACACCUUAAAGAAAAUAGUUUGAAUCUAGGUUUAUCGAUAACGGAACUUGAGAUUCAGUUAGAGCAGUUGAUAAUACGUACCAAUAGUAAACGUGAUCAAAUGGUACCUAGCAAAUAAUUUACUUAUCAGAAGUGGACUCAUGUGAACCAAACCAUUGGGAUUAUGUGGGGUAACUCAGUAGUUAUUUUUGGAUCCAGGUCUACAAGAUUUACCGUCUAACUUGUUCACGUGGAAGAUACUCGGUUUGUUUCCAAAAAAUAUGAUAUAUGUGUAGUCAAAUACUCUAAAAUAUCAUGAUAAAUAAUUUUUUUUUUUGAAAAAACUAAACUAGUCCAACCAAAUUGACAAAAUAUGGAGAUCAACCAUGAGAUCUUGAGGAAGAGUCCUAAGCCAAUACUACCGGACCAAUCCAAGUGAAUUUCAUGUUAAAUAUCAAGAGAGUUUAAUAUCAUUAGUCUAUUAGUUCAUUAGUCUAUUUUAAACAUAGAACAAAUUGAUACUUAAUUAAAUGUGUUCAUAUGAAAUGAUUUGUUUUUGGUCGAAAAUAUGAAAUAGAUUUUUAAAUAGACUAAUAACUCAUACCAGACUUUCAAAAUAUUAGACUUAAAUCUUUUACAUCUCUGACUUCAGUCUUGCAAAUAUUAGAUUAUUAAGGGUUCUAGCAGAAAAAAAAAAUCAACUAAAAAAUAGUUAGUUGUCGAAUUUCCUAUAAUUUUGAUGUAUAUUUAUAUUUAAGUUUUGAAAUAAAAAUGAAUUGCUAAGGGUAAUUUUGUUUAGCAAAAGGUCCGGUCAAUAGGUAGUUAAUUGAUAGUUAACUUUCGAGUUGCCUUUAUAAAAUUUAGCGGAAAUACGAACACUUUUUUUUUUUUUUUUAUUGUUUUUCGUUGUACAUAUAUUUUACAUAAACUUAUUUAAAUUCCAUUUUUAAUAUUAAGUUUAUACAUUUUUAAGUUUGAAAUAUAAAAAUAAUGUUCAACAAAGAUAGGUAAUUACUUUUCAAAUACCCUAUAAUUAUGUCGUCGAUUUGAGUUUAAAUUUAAACGUAAUAAAUUAAAUGGUUUUCUUAAGGUGAACUUGGUUAAAAAAAUAUCUAACCAAAAAAUAACUACAUGAUAGAUAAGUUUUGAGUUUUUGUCCAAAAAAAAUGUACCUUUUGAGUUGUUGACAAACAUACACAGACAUGAGACACAUAAAUGGAGAGAGAGAUAUAUCAAACUACAUCAAUGAAUGUUACGUCAAUAUUACACCGCUCAAUAAUACAGUAUUACAUUACGCAACAACACUUAUGCUAGACUCCAAACACUUGGUUAUUUAGAAAACUCAUAAGCGUAAUCACUUGGAUUAUGAGUCAAAAAAUCAGUUGAAUUAAAUUUUAAUUUGCUGCAAGCCUGCAACUUGAAGAGGUUGAUGAGAGAUUAAUUAAAACAUAUGUUUUUUUUAGGGGAUAAAGCAUAUGUUGUUUAUAUUUAUUAAUAUUGUUCGAGUCUUUAGUCCUCUUUUUUUUAAAAUAAAAAUAAAAAUUGAUGAAUAGAAUAAUUAGUUAUGCUUAUUGAAAUAGCAGACAAGAUAAUCAAACAUUAGAAACAGUCAAAAACAAAAGGGAGCCAAGCAAUCGAAAUACAUUAAAACAGCUCUAAAUAGUAUAAAUAGCAUACAAAUCAAUCAUAUACAAUUAAACACAAAACUAAUUUGCUUCUCCAAUAUGAUGUCACUUUGGAAUAAGUGGCUUAGACCAAGGUGUGUUCUUCUCCAAUUGUCACAUAUAUAUUAAUAAUUUAGUGCAUGCUUUCUCUGAAUUGGAUUGUGAUGUUUCAACGAUAACUAAUACUAGUAAUUAAAUUUGUUUCUAAUACAAGACGUACGGUCAUGUAUCUGUUUUCUUAAUUUAUGCAACUUUUGUAAUGGUCCCCUUGCAUUGCAUAUUUAUUGUUUAGCAAGUAGCCAUAACCACUUCUAAUUCAAACCAAAGAAACUUUAUUUUAAUAAUAAUAAAAUGUUGAAAUAAAACCACAUACCCUGUCUGUUUAGCAAGGAAAAUUUUCUAAGCUUUGUGCAUCAAGUAAAAAAGGUGAGUCAAAGUCAACAGUACUAGCUUUAUUUUAAGCCUUGUUUUUUUGGAGGUGUAGAUGAACUCAUGCCCUUGAUGCAAGAGAAGUUUCCUGAGCUUGGUUUGGUUAGAGAAGGAAUAUGGCCUAUAUUUGAUGAAGAUGGUGACAAUGAUACUGUUUCCUUAUGGUGGCAUAAUGGAUAAUAUUUCAGAAUUUGAAAUUCCAUUUCCACAUAGAUAUGGACAUGGCCAGUUAUGUGUAACUGCAACAAGGCCCUUGGCGCCGCAAAGCCUCUAACAUAAACGGGCCUCAAAAUUUGAAAAUAAAAAGCUUGUACUCACUAAGGAUGUUUUUUCUGUCCAUAAAAAAAUUACUUUAUAGUUAAAAAAAAAAUGUAUCAAAACCACCGUUGAAUACUUCUUUGGAAAAAGUUGGAAAUUUUGGGUGUGCCUGUCGUAUUAUGUGUCACAUAUAUGUGGGAUGUUAUUUAGUGUUUUGAGGUCUAUUGAACAAGCUAUAUUUGUGAGUUUGAUACCUGUUUUUGUUUAGUAAAAUACAUUUUUAGUUACUAUAUAUUUAAAUUUUCAAGUUUUGUAUUUUGCGGUGAUUAAAAAAUUCACAUUUUUUUAUUCCAUACAAGUAAUCAAUUCCAUCUAAAAAUUGAUGUCAGUUUAGCCAUUGAAAAAUCUAUACAAACCUGUGAAUGCCUUCAAAUAAUUGGAAGGUUAACAUUGAAUCUUAUGAAUGACAUCCAAGAGGGUUGUCUUACAUUGCAAUGGAUUUUAACCUAAAAAGCUAUUACGUGUUAAUCUAAGGUUAAUUAAUUUUCUGAGACUCAAGGCUUUGAUUGGCUUGAAGAAAUCGAUUGACAUUUCUAUGAUGAUCAAAGGUAGCAUUAAUAAUUUGAUCGGAUGCAACGUCUUCUUUCAAAUCUCAGCCAUGACAAAAAAAAAAAAAAAUGAAGGUUCAAGUUAGCAAAAGUGCACAUUUUUAUUUGAAUAAAAAAAAAUUAAUAUUCAUUAGUGUAAACCAAUUUAAAGCAAGAGAUAAUUAAGUAAAUAUCCCUCAAGCUAUUUAUUAUAAAAUACAAGUGGAUCUAAGUUAGCAAAUUUGUGAAGUUAACAAAUAUGUUUUAACACUAUUUUUUCAUACAUAAGACUAUUAUAAUUUUUUUCAUCAAUUGGAGGCUUUAGUUUUUUCCAAGAGCAUGCAUUCCCACUUGUUUCUAUUGAAAAAUCAUAAGCCUAAUCAGUUGGAUUAAAGUAAUGUUGCAACUUGAAGAGAUUGAUGAGAGAUUUAUUGAAUAAUCAGAUUAGAUUGGUUUUUUUUUUAAAAGAGUCAGAUUAGAUUGUUGUUAACUACUCUCUAAUUUUAUUUUAUUUUUGGUCAAGAACUACUCUCUAAUUAAUUUUGUUUUAACAUGAAUAAAUAUGAUAUUGUUCAAUUUUUCGGUCCUCUUUAUUUUUUUAAUAAACAUGCAAAAUGCAGUGAUAAAAGGAAUAAUUAGUAAUGCCGAUUGAAGUAGUAGUAGACAAGAUAAUCAAAAACGAGGACGCCAACUACCACAAGCCACCAAAAGACAUAAAAACAUAAUCUAAAUUUAAAUAGUAAAUUGUUUAAAGACUAAAUUACAUAUCAUGUGAGUAAUUCAACAACAAUUCCGAAUAAAAUUACAUAAGAUUAAUUUACCUAAAGUAUAAUUUAAAGGGGUGAAGAUCCUCUCCAUUUAACAAAAUAAAUGGAGUUUUGCUAGUUUGAGAGAGAUAGACACAAGAAAUAGAUGGUGGGUCCUACUACUAAGUGGAUUCCACCAUCAUUAAUUAUAUUUUACUUUUUUCAAGAUUUUAUGUGUCUUUAUCUCUCCAAAUUGAAAAAAUGGAGAAACGCAUAAAUGGAGAGGAUCUUAAUCCAAUUUAAAGACUAGGCUAAACUAAUUAACUAGAUGCCAAUUUGAAUUAACUGGAUUGGGCCAAGUGUCCAAGUUGUGUUCUCUCCAAUUGUCACUUGCAUACAUACUUUUAAACUAAUUUUUUGAAUCUUUUUUUAUACAUUGUUUCUACCAUAUAUUUUUGUCUCUGGAUCUUAUGAUGUUUCAACAAUAACUUAAAUUAAUAUCUUCACCAAAAAAAAAAAUAACUUAAAUUAAUAUGCAUCUAAUAGAUAACAGUCAUUUAUAUAUUGAAAUAAGAAGCGUGUGAUUCCAAUUAAUAAUUACAGUUAACUUAAAUGGACCAAUAGAUUAUUCGUUUUGUUUAUUCAACUUUUUAGAAUGGUCUUCCUGCAUGUUUAACAAGCAGUAUCAACCACUUCUUUUAGUCAAAAAAAAAAUCAACCUCUUCUUGUUAAAAUCAAAUAAAAAUAUUUAUUUUAAUGAAAUUGAUAGAGACUCAUACCUUGUAUGAUUGCCCGGGGUUUUCUUUUGUUUUGUUUUUUUAUAGUAAGGACGGGACUUUUCUAAUAUAAAAUGAUUCAAAUUCUAAGCUAUAGUUUCACGUGAUUGACUUACUUCUCUACUAUGCAUGUUGGAUUUAGAAAACUUUAACUAGUUGGAAUUUCCUUAGUAGAGAAUUUAUGAAAACAACUUUGGCAGUUUAUAAUUUUUUUUUUCUUCUUUCAAAAAAUAAUAAUAAUUGUUUUUCUAACUUAUUUUCAUAUGCUCUCUACGAUUAAUCAAGUGAUUUGAUUUAAAAGUUCUACCAAUGACACAUUGUUCAAGAAAACUUGAGAGAAUUUAUUUUCAUAUGCUCUCGAUGAUAACUUAUGAAAACAAACUAUGAUUUGAGGGACAGAUAGUUAUUUUGAUAUUUAAAUGUGUAACGAAUAGUCGCAGUAGUAUCUCAAUGUAUUUGAAUUUUAAAAUAGUCUUUGAUUUUCAUUUUGUUGGUCAAAUAGUCUCGGAAGUGACAAUAAAUAAGUAUAUUGAAGUACUAAUAUGACUAUAUUAACAAAGUAUUUUAAUGUUACAAACUAUUUUGACUAACGAAAUGCAUAAUCGUAGACUAUUUUAAAAUUUUGAUACAUUGAUGGACUAUUAUAUGGCUACUCCUUACAUACAAAAUGAUAAUUACCUUUUAUAAAUAAAACACAAUAUGUUGAGAAUAAGAACAACAACCUUAUGCAAAACUUGUGGAAUCAAAUAAGUGCACAUUUGCUAACUUAUAUGAGAAACAAAUUGUUUUUAUAGUUUUGUUACAAAAAAUAGUUUUUUUUAAACAAUUAGAUAAAGCACAAUUAUGCAAUAAGUGUUUAAUUGUUAAUCCACAUGGAUAUUUAUCUUCGAGCAUGUAGAAACCCGCCUAUAAAUUUGAAGCAUCAUAUGCACAACAUUACUAAAACAAAAUGAUGCCUCUAAGCUCAUAUUUGUCUGUUGCACUUAUUGCUAUUUUAUUUUCAUAUGCAUCUUCUGCAAUUGAUACUAAUACUUAUGAAGAUAACUUCCUUCAAUGUCUUUCUAGUUAUUCACAUAACUCAACUUCAAUCUCUAAAGUUGUGUACACCAAAACCAAUCCCUCUUACUCACCAGUACUCAAAUUUACAACUCAAAAUCUAAGAUUUGCAUCCUACAAAACACCAAAACCACUUGUCAUCAUCACACCUCUAGAACCUUCCCAUAUUCAAACAGCCAUAAUUUGUUCCCAAAAUCAUGGCCUCCAGAUUCGAACCCGUAGUGGGGGCCAUGACUUUGAGGGCCUAUCCUAUGUUUCAGAAAUUCCAUUUGUUGUCAUUGAUCUCAUAAACUUCAAGGAAAUUGAUGUAGAUGUAGAAAGCAGAACUGCUUGGGUUCAGUCUGGUGCAACACUUGGUGAACUUUACUACACAAUUAGCCAAAAAAGCCGAAAUCUUGCUUUCCCAGCUGGUGCUUGUCCUACAAUAGGUGUUGGUGGACAUUUCAGUGGUGGCGGCUAUGGAACCUUGUUGCGUAAAUAUGGUUUAGCCGCGGAUAAUGUAAUCGAUGCUCACAUAAUUGAUGUGAAAGGUAGGUUACUUGACAGAGAAGCAAUGGGUGAAGAUUAUUUUUGGGCUAUUAGAGGUGGUGGAGGAGCAAGUUUUGGAGUCAUAAUUUCAUGGAAGAUAAAACUUGUUGAAGUUCCAGCAACAGUGACGGUGUUUACAGUUCCAAGAGCAUUGGAACAAAAUGCAACAAAGCUUGUUCACAAGUGGCAGUAUUUGGCAAGUAAAAUUGAUGAAAACAUAGCCAUCAAUAUUGUCUUUCAAAGGAUAAAUUCAAGUAAAAAAGGCGAGACAACAAUUCUAGCUAUAUUUCAAGCCUUGUUUCUUGGAGGUGUAGAUAAACUCAUUCCCUUGAUGGAUCAAAAGUUUCCUGAGUUGGGUGUGGUCAGAGAAAAUUGUAUUGAAAUGAGUUGGAUUGAAUCGGUUCUUUACCUUUUUCAAUUUCCGAAAGGUGCAUUACCUGAAGUGUUGCUUAACAGAACACUAGCUGCAAACAGCCCAAGAUUUAUUUACAAAGCAAAAUCUGAUUUUGUGAAAACUCCCAUUCCUGAAAAUGGAUUAGAAGGAAUAUGGUCUUUGUUUCAUGAAGAAGGUGCCAAAGGUGCAAUGAUGAUAUGGUUUCCUUAUGGUGGAAUAAUGGAUACUAUUUCAGAGUCUGAAAUUCCAUUUCCACAUAGAAAAGGAAAUUUAUAUCAUAUUCAUUACCAGGUUGAUUGGCAACAGGAAGGUGAUGAGGUGGAAAAACUGCACAUUAAUUGGAUUAGAAAACUUUAUAAUUACAUGGAACCUUUUGUUUCAAAGUCUCCAAGAGCUGGAUACAUCAAUUAUAGAGACCUUGAUAUUGGUGUGAAUAACAUUGAUGGAUACACAAGCUACAAGCAAGCUAGUAUCUGGGGUGUUAAAUACUUCAAGAACAAUUUCAGAAGAUUGGCAAAUGUGAAGACCAAAGUUGAUCCUCUAAACUUCUUCAGAAAUGAACAAAGUAUACCUUCUCUUGUGUCCAAGGGACACAAAUAAAUUAAUUGGAGUAGCUAAGGUCACGAUAAUAAAAAAUAAGCUGUUUUGUUAUUUCUCUUUUAUAUGUGUAUCUUUUCUUUAUAAAUAAAGGUUUAGGGGAGUGGGGUCUAGAGCUAAGGGGUAAAGGCUUCAAGGCUCAAAGAGCAUUUUUAGAGAGAUAAUUACAUAUUACAUGCCAACAAGGUCUUCUUCAAUCGGGAGCAAGAAGAUUUCCACAUCUUUUUUGGAUGAGUAUCUGAUGCAGCAUUCAUCAACCCCUAGAUAUUCUAUGUGUGUAUUUAUUUUUACAUGUUUGUUUACUUUUACUUAAAACAAUGAUACUUGAAUAAAUUACUAAAGUUUGGUGUUAAACUUGACAUAUAUUUGUGUUUAUUGAAAGGAUAUUCCUGCGAAAACUGCUGGUUACACCCCCUAUAUUUGUAGUUAGCCCUUUGACACCAUUUAAUCAACAAAAUGGCCAAAGAAUGCCUAUAACUAGCCGGUAACAGUUGCUAAAACUUUCGAGAUACAUGCUCAUAUAUCUUCAACGACAACUUUGAAUGACAUCACAAGUUAGCUAAACUAUCAGUACAUUUAUUAGUUUCUCGGAAAAUAUGCUUAAUUUUGGCCUCAUGAUCUUCUUAUUGGGAACAACAAGACCUCACCCAUUAGUCGCGCUUACAUACUUGCCCUACAAACAAUCAACUACAUUAACUUUAGAAUCCAUAAGAAGCCUCCUACAUGUUAAAUAUCUUUUUCUUGUGAAUUGAAGACCCUCUUAUCAUCUACUCCUAUGCUGGUCAGAGUUAUACCGAAAAAAUUGGACAAACCUCAAAUUUAAGCACCAUUUGCAUCCCUUAACACCCCUCCGAAACAUGUUAACCUAGAAUUUUGAUGAGCACGAUCCGUAUUGAUAUGAACGCAUCCUGGCAGGGGCAGUUUCCAGUUGAUACUCAUACACGUCUUCAUCUUUAUCGUUGGUUGAAAUAAGGCAGCAUCAUUAUGGUAGUCACUCACUUGUUUGAAAACAACAAUCCGAAGUUUGUUACGUAAAUUCUAGGAUAAGUAUGUUUAAGUAAAUUCUGUUCAAGUACACUUUUGGUGAGAUUUGAGAAUUUGAUAGAGUUUGGGAUAAUUUGGCUUAUUUUGGCUUUUUAAAACCUGCCAUGAUGUUACUUAGAAUUAUGGGAUGAAACUAUAAGUUGUAUUCCAUGCUCUGUUGUAAACAUUUUGAGAAUUACAUAAGUAUUUAUAUUGUUUACUGUUUUUAUGCAUUUCGAAUUUCAAUUUGUUUGGAAAAGAUAUAUUUGCACACAGUUUUUUAGAACUAGCAUGCUCAUGUUCUUGUAUAAAAAAAAAAAAAAAAAUCAAAAUGCUCAUAUAACAUGUUGGCUGGACCACCUUCAUGUUGUUCAACCAUCGCAAGUCCUCGUCUCCAGCUAUGAAAUGACGACUUGGAAGGCAACUAUUCCAGACUGGAUCAAGGUCCAAUCCUAAAGUGUGAAGGCUUAAUAAAGAUUCUGAUCCAAAUAUGGAUCACCUACUCCUACAUAAAUAAGGCUGCAAAACAGAGAAAGGGAUUACUCGGAUCACAAUCACACGAUUACUCGGAUCACAUGUCCAGACUGGAUCUAGGUACUCUUAUCACAAUCACACGAUUACUCGGAUCACAUGUCCGAGAAAGCACAACCGCCUAACAUCCUCGUGCUUACGCGGAAACUUCAACCGUCUAUAAAAAAGGAGUCACCCACUCUAAAAAAUUAGCACACUCUCAUUUAAAAAAAGCCUCUUUAUUACAAGUACAUCAUUUUGCUCCGGUGAAAGACAACCGCAUCCCACCUACUCUGGUCGUCGUCCUUACACUUUCUUUUCCACUUGAAAUGUAUAAUUUAAAGACUAAACUAAUUAAUUAAGUGGAUUGGAUUGAACCAAGUUAUAUUCUCUCCAAUUGUCAAUUGCAUACUACAAAACUAUUAUUUUUUUGUGCAAGUUAACUCUUUAUUAAAGCUUUGUUUUAAACAUAUUUCCUUGUCUCUGAAUUGGACUACGAUGUUUAAACAAGAAUUAAUACUUAAAUAUGUUUCUGAUAGAUGAGUUCAUUUUUAUAUAUUGAAAUAAGAAGCAUGCUCCCAAUUAGCUCGCUUUCUUUAUGCAAAAUUUAGAAUGGUAGUAAGUAGCAACAACCACUUCUUAUCAAAUAAAAAAUUGAUUUCAAUGAAGUUAGAUAAAACAACAAAAGAAAAAACACCAUACCCUGCCGGCUUAACAGGGAGAACUAUUGUAUAAAAUUGAAAAAGUCAAGAUUCAAAUGUGUAGUUUCACAUGCUUGACUUGUCUACCAUAGUAGUUUUAGCAGAUACUUUAUUUAGGAGAUAAGCGUUUGAGAAAUUUUUCAUAAGUUGUUUUUCAACUUAUUUCUAUAAAAAUUCCUAGGAUAACUUAUGAUAACGGUUUAUAAUAUAUGAAAACAGACUGUUUUAUUCUUUCUUUUUUGUAAUAUAGUUUAUAAAAUGAAACGAAAAAAAUUAUACGUAAGCACUUAUUUGAUAAGCGGUUAUGUAAUAAGUGUUUAAUUUGUCUAUCCACUGUAGAUUUAUUCUCUACACCCACUAGAGUCUAAAAUCUAGCACAAGUGGUUGGUGCGAAGUUUAAAAAAAUGAAACAAAAUAAAGUUUACAUAAGCACUUAUUUAAUAAGCGGAUUAUAGAUUUCAACUCCAAAUUAUUCUAUAUACCAAUAAAAAUUAGAGCAUAGAGUGACACUUAUAAAUUUGAAGCAUCUUAUGCACAACACUACACUAACAAAAAAAUGAUGCAUCUAGGCUCAUACUUGUCUAUUGUACUAAUUGCUAUUUUAUUUUCAUUUACAUCUUCAGCAAUUGGUACUACUACUACUACUAAUGAAGAUAAUAGCUUCCUUCAAUGUCUCUAUAGCUAUUCACAUAACUCCACUUCAAUCUCUAAAGUUGUGUACACCAAAGCCAAUUCAUCAUACACAUCAAUACUCCAAUUUUCAACUCAAAAUCUCAGAUUUGCAACCAACAAAACACCAAAACCACUUGUAAUUGUCACACCUCUAGAAAUUUCCCAUAUUCAAGCAACCGUAAUUUGUUCCCAAUACCACAGCCUGCAGAUUCGAAUUCGCAGCGGCGGUCACGACUUUGAGGGUCUGUCUUAUGUCUCUGAAGUUCCAUUUGUUGUCAUUGAUCUCAUAAACUUCAGAGAAAUUGAAAUAAAUGUACACAAAAAAACUGCAUGGGUUCAAUCUGGUGCAACACUUGGUGAACUUUACUACGCAAUUAGCCAAAAAAGCAAAACUCUUGGUUUCCCUGCAAGUGUUUGUCCUACUGUAGGUGUUGGGGGACACUUCAGUGGUGGUGGAUAUGGAACCUUGUUGCGUAAAUACGGUCUUGCAGCCGAUAACAUCAUUGAUGCCUACAUAAUUGAUGUGAAGGGUAGGUUUCUUGACAGAGAAGCAAUGGGUGAGGAUUUCUUUUGGGCUAUUAGAGGUGGUGGAGGAGCAAGUUUUGGUGUCAUAGUUUCAUGGAAGAUUAAACUUGUUGAAGUUCCAUCAAUUGUGACAGUGUUUACUGUUCCAAAAACAUUGGAACAAAAUGCAACAAAGCUUGUUCACAAGUGGCAAUUUUUGGCAAGUAAACUUGAUGAAAAUAUAGCCAUGAAUAUUGUCUGGCAAAGGGUAAAUUUAAAUUCAAGUAAAAAAGGUGAGUCAAAGUCACCGGUACUAGUUUUAUUUCAAGCUUUGUUUCUUGGAGGUGUAGAUAAACUCAUACCCUUGGUUCAAGAGAAGUUUCCUGAGCUUGGUUUGGUUAGAGAAUAUUGUAUUGAAAUGAGUUGGAUUGAAUCUGUUCUUUACUUUUUUCAGUUUCCAAAAGGUUCUACACCUGAAGUGUUGCUUAACAGAACACAAGCUACACUUGAUAUAUUCAAAGCAAAAUCUGAUUUUGUGAGAAUUCCAAUUCCUGAAACUGGAUUAGAAGGCAUAUGGCCUUUAUUUGAUGAAGAGGGUUCCAAAGAUGCAAUGAUGAUAUGGUUUCCAUAUGGUGGCAAAAUGGAUACUAUUUCAGAGUCUGAAAUUCCAUUUCCUCAUAGAAGUGGAAACUUAUUCAUGAUUCAAUACUCGGUUCAUUGGCAUCAAGAAGGUGAUGAGGUGGAAACACUGCACAUUAAUUGGAUUAGAAAACUGUAUAGUUAUAUGGAAC